rnacentral:rRNA from 1 species
UUAAGCGACUAAGCGUACACGGUGGAUGCCCUGGCAGUCAGAGGCGAUGAAGGACGUGCUAAUCUGCGAUAAGCGUCGGUAAGGUGAUAUGAACCGUUAUAACCGGCGAUUUCCGAAUGGGGAAACCCAGUGUGAUUCGUCACACUAUCAUUAACUGAAUCCAUAGGUUAAUGAGGCGAACCGGGGGAACUGAAACAUCUAAGUACCCCGAGGAAAAGAAAUCAACCGAGAUUCCCCCAGUAGCGGCGAGCGAACGGGGAGCAGCCCAGAGCCUGAAUCAGUGUGUGUGUUAGUGGAAGCGUCUGGAAAGGCGCGCGAUACAGGGUGACAGCCCCGUACACAAAAAUGCACAUACUGUGAGCUCGAUGAGUAGGGCGGGACACGUGGUAUCCUGUCUGAAUAUGGGGGGACCAUCCUCCAAGGCUAAAUACUCCUGACUGACCGAUAGUGAACCAGUACCGUGAGGGAAAGGCGAAAAGAACCCCGGCGAGGGGAGUGAAAAAGAACCUGAAACCGUGUACGUACAAGCAGUGGGAGCACGCUUAGGCGUGUGACUGCGUACCUUUUGUAUAAUGGGUCAGCGACUUAUAUUCUGUAGCAAGGUUAACCGAAUAGGGGAGCCGAAGGGAAACCGAGUCUUAACUGGGCGUUAAGUUGCAGGGUAUAGACCCGAAACCCGGUGAUCUAGCCAUGGGCAGGUUGAAGGUUGGGUAACACUAACUGGAGGACCGAACCGACUAAUGUUGAAAAAUUAGCGGAUGACUUGUGGCUGGGGGUGAAAGGCCAAUCAAACCGGGAGAUAGCUGGUUCUCCCCGAAAGCUAUUUAGGUAGCGCCUCGUGAAUUCAUCUCCGGGGGUAGAGCACUGUUUCGGCAAGGGGGUCAUCCCGACUUACCAACCCGAUGCAAACUGCGAAUACCGGAGAAUGUUAUCACGGGAGACACACGGCGGGUGCUAACGUCCGUCGUGAAGAGGGAAACAACCCAGACCGCCAGCUAAGGUCCCAAAGUCAUGGUUAAGUGGGAAACGAUGUGGGAAGGCCCAGACAGCCAGGAUGUUGGCUUAGAAGCAGCCAUCAUUUAAAGAAAGCGUAAUAGCUCACUGGUCGAGUCGGCCUGCGCGGAAGAUGUAACGGGGCUAAACCAUGCACCGAAGCUGCGGCAGCGACGCUGAUGCGUUGUUGGGUAGGGGAGCGUUCUGUAAGCCUGUGAAGGUGUGCUGUGAGGCAUGCUGGAGGUAUCAGAAGUGCGAAUGCUGACAUAAGUAACGAUAAAGCGGGUGAAAAGCCCGCUCGCCGGAAGACCAAGGGUUCCUGUCCAACGUUAAUCGGGGCAGGGUGAGUCGACCCCUAAGGCGAGGCCGAAAGGCGUAGUCGAUGGGAAACAGGUUAAUAUUCCUGUACUUGGUGUUACUGCGAAGGGGGGACGGAGAAGGCUAUGUUGGCCGGGCGACGGUUGUCCCGGUUUAAGCGUGUAGGCUGGUUUUCCAGGCAAAUCCGGAAAAUCAAGGCUGAGGCGUGAUGACGAGGCACUACGGUGCUGAAGCAACAAAUGCCCUGCUUCCAGGAAAAGCCUCUAAGCAUCAGGUAACAUCAAAUCGUACCCCAAACCGACACAGGUGGUCAGGUAGAGAAUACCAAGGCGCUUGAGAGAACUCGGGUGAAGGAACUAGGCAAAAUGGUGCCGUAACUUCGGGAGAAGGCACGCUGAUAUGUAGGUGAAGCGACUUGCUCGUGGAGCUGAAAUCAGUCGAAGAUACCAGCUGGCUGCAACUGUUUAUUAAAAACACAGCACUGUGCAAACACGAAAGUGGACGUAUACGGUGUGACGCCUGCCCGGUGCCGGAAGGUUAAUUGAUGGGGUCAGCGCAAGCGAAGCUCUUGAUCGAAGCCCCGGUAAACGGCGGCCGUAACUAUAACGGUCCUAAGGUAGCGAAAUUCCUUGUCGGGUAAGUUCCGACCUGCACGAAUGGCGUAAUGAUGGCCAGGCUGUCUCCACCCGAGACUCAGUGAAAUUGAACUCGCUGUGAAGAUGCAGUGUACCCGCGGCAAGACGGAAAGACCCCGUGAACCUUUACUAUAGCUUGACACUGAACAUUGAGCCUUGAUGUGUAGGAUAGGUGGGAGGCUUUGAAGUGUGGACGCCAGUCUGCAUGGAGCCGACCUUGAAAUACCACCCUUUAAUGUUUGAUGUUCUAACGU